CAGAGGAAAAUGCAUUGCAAUUAGUACU
rnacentral:piRNA from 1 species